rnacentral:rRNA from 1 species
CCCCAGACUCCUACGGGAGGCAGCAGUGGGGAAUAUUGCGCAAUGGGGGAAACCCUGAUGCAGCGACGCCGCGUGAGCGAUGAAGUAUUUCGGUAUGUAAAGCUCUAUCAGCAGGGAAGAAGAUGACGGUACCUGACUAAGAAGCCCCGGCUAACUACGUGCCAGCAGCCGCGGUAAUACGUAGGGGGCAAGCGUUAUCCGGAUUUACUGGGUGUAAAGGGAGCGUAGACGGCGAUGCAAGUCUGAAGUGGAAGGCGGGGGCCCAACCCCCGGACUGCUUUGGAAACUGUAUGGCUGGAGUGCAGGAGAGGUAAGUGGAAUUCCUAGUGUAGCGGUGAAAUGCGUAGAUAUUAGGAGGAACACCAGUGGCGAGGGCGGCUUACUGGACUGUAACUGACGUUGAGGCUCGAAAGCGUGGGGAGCAAACAGGAUUAGAUACCCCCGUAU